rnacentral:lncRNA from 1 species
UUUGUAUCUGAUACAAGUGACAUUAAAAGUUGAAGUCCUUAUAUGCAUGAUUUCUAUUAUGAAAUUAAAAGUGGAACCCUGCAGCCAUGAUUCUACUAUGCAAAAGCAAUCAGAUUCAACAUGAAUAAAAACCCUAUAGACAUGUUUUCUAUUAUGCAAAAAGCAAUUAGAUUCAACAGGAAUAAAAAUCCUACAAGCAUGUUUUCUCUCGAGUGACGCAGGCAGGUUUGAAAAUAAACCCUAAAGGUAGGAUUUCUACCCAAGUUACCCCGCAAAGUAUACAUCUACCGACCCUUUCACUAAAUACCUCAAGUAUCUAUUUAAAAAUUAUUACAGGCAAAACAAAUUACGUGAGUGAAAUAGAAAAUUAAUAAGCUAUUCUAUUGAGAGCCUGCAAUCAGGCCACAGUUACCAAAGCCUCCAAUGGUCUUUCAAGCCUCAUUUCCAUGGACGAGUCAGAGUCUAGGUGCAUCAAAGUUCCCUAAGGACCUCAAGGACCCCGGGAAAUGCUUACACCUAGACUUAGUAGCUGAGCAUUGAACCAGUGGAGUGUAGAAAGCCAGCCUCAGUAUACCAGAGUUCCAAGGGUUCUCAAGGGGAUCCCAAGGCAGUACACACACUAGAGGGGGGCAGAACUUAUAACUAGGAGUAGAGUGAAAGUGCAUGACACAUGUUUGAA